rnacentral:lncRNA from 1 species
AGCAUCCUACGCGCAGAGAUACCGUCCCUAAUAGGCAACCGCAAAGGAUCUACUACCGCCCUCCACGACCAACCACAACUAGGAGACGCCCAGCAUGUGGCAAGGGAUAAUUUCACCUGGGACGUCCACUCCACUGCAUGAAUGAAAGAACAAAGUGAUUCAUUCCUGCAAAUUUUUGCUCCGCAACACCAAUAAAGGCUUUCUGUUUUAAUGCUGAAAA